rnacentral:ncRNA from 1 species
UCUAGUCUGACUCUGUGAACAGACAUUGAAGGUUUUGCACAGGUGGGAGACCGGUGGCCGCUCGCGGUGCCGUGCCAACAGUGAAAUACCACUACUUUGAUCGUUUCUUUACUUAUUCGGUGAGGCGACUGCAUGCGCUCGCCUGUCGGUGUAUUGGGACAAUCAGAGUGCGAUAAAAUUUGUAAGUAACCGAAUAGAAUAGUCACACUGUCGGCAUAUCGACAUUGCUUAUUAUAUCGCACGCGAAAUGGACCAGGAGGUGA